rnacentral:rRNA from 1 species
GACGAACGCUGGCGGCGUGCUUAACACAUGCAAGUCGAACGAAGUGGCGAACGGGUGAGUAACGCGUAAUCAACCUGCCCUUCAGAGGGGGACAACAGUUGGAAACGACUGCUAAUACCGCAUACUGAAGGAGGGGAUUGCGUCUGAUUAGCUGGAUGGAGGGGUAACGGCCCACCAAGGCGAUGAUCAGUAGCCGUGCUGAGAGGAUGAACGGCCACAUUGGGACUGAGACACGGCCCAGAAUCAUUAGGGAAGCAGGAAGGGGAAUACUGCCGCAAUUGAAGAAAGUCUGGCGGAGCAAAGCCGCGUGAGUGAUGACGGCCUUCGGGUUGUAAAGCUCUGUUAAUCGGGGCGCGGUACCGGAAUAGAAAGCCACGGCUAACUACGUGCCAGCAGCCGCGGUAAUAC